GUGGGGAAUUUUGGACAAUGGGCGCAAGCCUGAUCCAGCAAUGCCGCGUGUGUGAAGAAGGCCUUCGGGUUGUAAAGCACUUUUGUCCGGAAAGAAAUGGCCUGGGUUAAUACCCCGGGUCGAUGACGGUACCGGAAGAAUAAGCACCGGCUAACUACGUGCCAGCAGCCGUGGUAAUACGUAGGGUGCGAGCGUUAAUCGGAAUUACUGGGCGUAAAGCGUGCGCAGGCGGCGAUGCAAGACAGAUGUGAAAUCCCCGGGCUCAACCUGGGAACUGCAUUUGUGACUGCAUGGCUAGAGUGCGUCAGAGGGGGGUGGAAUUCCGCGUGUAGCAGUGAAAUGCGUAGAUAUGCGGAGGAACACCGAUGGCGAAGGCAAUCCCCUGGGCCUGCACUGACGCUCAUGCACGAAAGCGUGGGGAGCAAACAGGAUUAGAUACCCUAGUAGUCC
rnacentral:rRNA from 1 species